UACGUAGGGAGCAAGCGUUGUCCGGAAUCAUUGGGCGUAAAGCGCGCGUAGGUGGCCACAUAAGUCCGUUGUGAAAGUCAAAGGCUCAACCUUUGAAAGCCGAUGGAUACUGUGUGGCUAGAGUACGGAAGAGGCGAGCGGAAUUCCUGGUGUAGCGGUGGAAUGCGCAGAUAUCAGGAGGAACACCGGUGGCGAAGGCGGUUCUCUGGGCCUUACCUGACGCUGAGGAGCGAAAGCAUGGGGAGCAAACAGG
rnacentral:rRNA from 1 species